rnacentral:rRNA from 1 species
GACGAACGCUGGCGGCGUGCCUAAUACAUGCAAGUUGAGCGCUGAAGGUUGGUCCUUGUACCAACUGGAUGAGCAGCGAACGGGUGAGUAACGCGUGGGGAAUCUGCCUUUGAGCGGGGGACAACAUUUGGAAACGAAUGCUAAUACCGCAUAAAAACUUUAAACACAAGUUUUAAGUUUGAAAGAUGCAAUUGCAUCACUCAAAGAUGAUCCCGCGUUGUAUUAGCUAGUUGGUGAGGUAAAGGCUCACCAAGGCGAUGAUACAUAGCCGACCUGAGAGGGUGAUCCGCCACAUUGGGACUGAGACACGGCCCAAACUCCUACGGGAGGCAGCAGUAGGGGAGCUUCGGCAAUGGACGAAAGGCUGACCGAGCAACGCCGCGUGAGUGAAGAAGGUUUUCGGAUCGUAAAACUCUGUUGGUAGAGAAGAACGUUGGUGAGAGUGGAAAGCUCAUCAAGUGACGGUAACUACCCAGAAAGGGACGGCUAACUACGUG